GGUUAUAAUUUCUUUCCCUAAAAGAAUAUUCCUUGCCAAAGUUGACCAUGAGUUGGGCUGUGAUUUUCUUAGCACUCCUCACUUACUGCACAGGCAUCGAUGGUCAGUCCACUUGGACUCAGCCUCCCUCCAGCUCCGUGUCCCUGGGUGAAACCAUCACACUCUCCUGUUUAACAACUCAGAGUUCCUACAGCAUUGGCUGGUAUCAACAGGAACCAGGAAAAGGCCCUCGUUUUGUCCACUGUGAUGGCUGCAACAGGGGAGAAGGGAUCCAAAUCGGUUCACUGCCACCAGAUCUGGGAGUACAGGAUCUCUGGCCAUCACCAAUGUGCAGGCUGAUGACGAAGGAGUUUAUUAUUGUGGUAGCCGGAACAGUGCAGCCAACGCGUUCCACAGUGAUUAAUUCUUAUGGGGAAGUGUGACAAAAACCUCCUCUCUGCCUCUUCAGCCUGAGACAAGAAGCAACAUACCUUGUCUUGUGAUCGAGGAAACUAGAGGUGAGAAGACAGGAGAGAAACUUCUGCAAGUUCAUUUCUAU